rnacentral:tRNA from 1 species
UCCCUGGUGGUCCAGUGGUUAGGACUCAGUGCUUUCACUGCUGUGGCCAGGGUUCAAUCCCUGGUUGGAGAA